GAAAUGCGAUAAGUAGUGUGAAUUGCCGAAUUCAGUGAAUCAUCGAAUCUUUGAACGCACAUUGCGCCCCUUGGUAUUCCAUGGGGCAUGCCUGUUCGAGCGUCAUUUGUACCCUCAAGCUUUGCUUGGUGUUGGGCGUCUUGUCCUCCUUCUGGAGGACUCGCCUUAAAACAAUUGGCAGCCGGCAUAUUGGUAUCGGAGCGAAGAACAAGUCGCACUCCUUGCCAUGAAUGUUGGCGUCCAUCAAGACUAUUUUAUCACUCUUGACCUCGGAUCAGGUAGGGAUACCCGCUGAACUUAA
rnacentral:misc_RNA from 1 species